AGCGAACGCUGGCGGCAGGCCUAACACGUGCAAGUCGAACGAACUCUUCGGAGUUAGUGGCGGACGGGUGAGUAACACGUGGGAACGUGCCUUUUGGUUCGGAAUAACUCAGGGAAACUUGUGCUAAUACCGAAUGUGCCCUUCGGGGGAAAGAUUUAUCGCCAUUAGAGCGGCCCGCGUCUGAUUAGCUAGUUGGUGAGGUAACGGCUCACCAAGGCGACGAUCAGUAGCUGGUCGGAGAGGAUGACCAGCCACACUGGGACUGCGACACGGCCCAGACUCCUACGGGAGGCAGCAGUGGGGAAUCUUGCGCAAUGGGCGAAAGCCUGACGCAGCCAUGCCGCGUGAAUGAUGAAGGUCUUAGGAUUGUAAAAUUCUUUCACCGGGGACGAUAACGACGGUACCCGGAGAAGAAGCCCCGGCUAACUUCGUG
rnacentral:rRNA from 1 species